ACAAACCAGGACCUCGGCGAGGACAGCGUGUGGUCCAGAAGGCAUCGCUGGCCUCGCUGCACUGAGCGAGAGCGCUCAGUUAACAGCCAGGAGGAGAAAUGGGACGCUUCGGGACCCACCCCCGCGCUCCCCCUCCCGCCCCCAAACUGCAGAUUUUUAAGUUGUGCAGACGUGGAACAAUUCCUCGGAGCCAGCUGCUCCAAGCUAAGGCGCCCAGUGUUCCCUGGGUUCCUACCCGCAGCAUACGCCCUGCCAGCUGCCCCCAAGCCAGCACCCGCUGACCACUCACCUCAGGGUAAUCAUGUGAAGCCAAUGAAAUAAUAAAAAGGACCACAUCGGAUGACCCCUGAGGCAGGUCUGCUCCCCAAAAGUUUACUCUUGAAUGUUGACCAAGGUUGAGCUAGGCAAAGUGGUAAAUUCACACACACGGUAUGUAGCCCCUUCCCCAACCCCAGUCUCCAUUACCGGGGGCAUGCUGUGAACUAACUGCCUCCUUUUCCCCACACACCCACUUCCUGCCCAGUCUUUAUGCCUCCCGAUAUGACAUCCCGUUCCCUCUUAAUUAACUGUGCCUAUAGAGAAACAUCUAGAUAAACCAUGCAUUUAAUCUGUGAGGGGUCAAUCAUUUAAUCAUCGUUGACAAUAAUGCUCACUCCUCUGUGGUUUCAGAGGACUCCUGGAGUGGAUGGAGACACAUGCCACUAAUGUGGGAUGCAUUUCAGUCUGUCUUCCAGGCCUCGUUUGGAGGUCUCCCUCUCUUACCCACCUAUCACACAUCCAUGUCUUCCCUUCCCUCCCCAGAGCCAAACCUGUCCCCGACUUUUUAUUCUCACUAAAGUUCAAAUGACAGAAAUCAGCUAGAUUAGUACUUGCCUUAGUCCUGAAGGAAAGGGAAGUGCUCAUUAGCUUCUUAAAUUGGAACAGGUCUGCAGGUGAAAAUGAAGAUGUGCUCAUCUCUGGCAGGAAGGUUGGGAGUGAGGGGUAUAGUCAUAAUGAGCAGCGUUUAUUUGGUGUGUGCCUCUCACUUGCCACUUUCUACCCAGCUGCCUGAAUAUCACUCCAGUUAGUCUGAGCACAUGAAACACCUGCAACUCCCCAGACCCACCAUGCUUUUUCUUGACUCUCUGAAUGCACAGCAGUGCCUCCUCAGCUAAGAACACAGUUCCCCAUCACCAAGCUUUGCUUUGCCCAACAGACCCCUUCUCCCUUAGGAUGAGAUUCAGUGGAUAAUCACAUCAUAAUCACGACCCUCUGGGAAGCCGCCUCUCUCAUCCUGGGUUGUGUGUUGUGUGUUUCCUUUCCACACUCCCUCAGCAGCCUUUGCCUCCCACUUUCAUAGAAUCUACCAUAUGGGAUUUUAACUGUUUGUCUUCCACUAGACAAUAAGCUCCUUGAAGACUGAAUUUCCAGGAACUUCUGUUGGAUCUGCAUGUUUGUGAAGUGAAUUACUGAAGGCUGCCCAGUUUCAUCUGAUCCUAGUCAAAACCUAAAUCCCUUAUUUCUACGCUACCUUUUGCCAGCACCUGAAAAUGAUGCCAGGUUUCUGGAAUCCACGGCAGCAAUGGGUGAUAAGUCUCCAGCAUCUGGGUGACAGCAGACUGACUCUGCUCUCAAGUCUCAUUAAUCCACAUUGUAAGUCACACUAUGUCCCUUUGGCUCCAUUUUCUUACCUGUAAAAUGGGGAUUUUGAACUUACUAAUAUGCCAGACACAAAGCUAAAGAAAGGAGCUGAAGAGACAGGAUAAAAAAGACGAAUAAUAGGUUCCUCCCUGUAAGAGCUCACAAUUCAGUGGGCUGACAUCAUCGGCCUUAUCCACCAGAUAGAGUGUUAGAAUAACAGGAUAGCAGGAUAGAGAGUUGAGAGAUAAAAGCACCAUAUAAUGUGACAGGAACUGCCACUUGUCACUCAAUUUCCAUUCUGCCCUGCUAUCUUAGUAACAGAACUCCUGUUUUUAUGGGGCAGACAUGUCCCCAACUAAACACAUUAUAUUUCCCAGCCUCUCUUGCAACUAGUGUAGAGAAACCAACUUUUAGAACCAGAUGUAAGCCUAUACAUUCUCUUAUGUUUCCAGGGAGUCUUUUUAAAAAGGGGAGCCAUGCCCUUUUCCCUUUUGUCUUCCAACCUCCUCCCUAGAAUGUGGAUGAGGUGACUGGAGUUCUUGCAGCCAUUUGGGGCCAUGAGAACAAUGGGUACACCUUAGGGAUGGCAAAGAGUGAGCUAAUUGGAAUAUGGGGCCCUCACCUCUUUGCAGGGCUAUUUUAUCCAUGUUGUAUACUGCAAAUCACUGUACUUCUCUCACCUGAGAAACAAACAGCUAACUUGUGUAUAGAUGUGUGUGUAUGUGUGUAUUAAUGCAACUGAUUCCACUCUCAACUGAUGAACGAAAAUAUUUAAUAUUAAUAAGUAUUACACAUAAUCCCUACUUUAUUUAGCUCCUAAAGAUCUCAUGAGAUUUAUUUUAAAACUAACAUGCUUCAAGAAUUUUUUUAACUUCUGGAAUAUCAAGUGAUAUGGUGGUGCUGAGCAAUGCAGGUAUUUUCACAACUAUCUUUAGGAGAUUCAAAUCAAUGCUUGGGCUCAGGUCACUUUAUGACUGAGAAGUCUGGAAAAUUGUAUUUUCUUUUGAAGUAGCAGGUGAACUUGUAGGACAAUAAAUCAGCUAGACAUGACUUGAGCCCUCAUGUACCCUCAUUCACAAGCAUAUGCACACGCUUACCUGCAUGGAUGGACAUGUACUUUCAGGAAGCCACACUAUGCAUCACACGCAUGCAUAGCCACACACAGGUACACUUUCACAUCCAUACUCAAUAGCAGGCUCCAGUGGAUUUCCUGCAAUUUUGAAGGCCCUGGAUUUUCCCUUCACCAGAACACUACGUUAUUAUGAGUUAUUAUUUUCAAGGACUUGGUUAUACAAGGCUGGAAGUGGUGUGAUGAGUCAUAAAGAGCAAGAGCAAGAAAGCUUAGUAGUCAGUCCUUGAUGGUGAAGGUGGAUUCAUGGAAAAGCAGAGAAAGGCAGAUUCCCUACUACACAUAAGUUCCAGGGUCAGAAGGAGAAUCCUGAUGAGCCAGGGGCAGUCUGAACAUCCAGAGGCCUCACCUUCAUGGAGGAUACUGCAUGAGAGUGUGAGUUAAGCUCCUCCCUGAGCUCCUGUCCUCCCCGCUCCAGGCCUGCUCCUCUAGACAAGCAAUUUUCAAUUGAUUCGAUCACUGCUUGUAUAUUUUGCUAUCUCUUUGAGCUCAGCCUCUAGCUCUGAUCCCAGUCCUUUGAGAACCUCCUCAGUGCUGUACACUAUGCUCAGGAUUUAAGAAAACACAAAGAUGAAGAAGACACAGUCUCUGCUCUCAAGAAGUGACAUUCUAUCAAAUAAUUGAGAAAUAAAUAUUGAUAGCCAACUCCAUAAAAAUAGAUAGAUAAUUACAGGAGUUGAUACAAAUCGUAGAACCUUGGCAAAUUCUCAGUUGUCUCAUCUGCAACUGAAGAAUAAUAACUUCUGCCAUCAGCAACUUGUGAGCUUAGAGAAACUACCCUCAUAAAUUAUUUAGGGAUUCCCUCUGCUACUCAACAAACCUUUUACUCAACUCUAGUUUAUUCAACAUUUCCCAGAAAACCCCAUCCAAGUCUUCCCCACUCUAAACCCUGGAAAUCUUCAUACCAAUUCAAUCCCCAGGUCUCAUUCACAGCAGAGAAUUUGUCUACCUACUUACUAAGAAAAAAGGCCAGAAGCAGUGGCUCACGCCUGUAAUCCCAGCACUUUGGGAGGCUGAGGUGGGCAGAUCAUGAGGUCAGGAGUUUGAGACCAGCCUGGCCAAUAUGGUGAAACCCUAUCUCUACUAAAACUACAAAAAUUAGCCAGGCAUGGUGGCACAUGCCUGUAGUCCCAGCUACUCGGGAGGCUGAGGCAGAAGAAUCACUUGAACCCAGGAGGCAGAGGUUGCAGUGAGCCAAGAUAACACCACUGCACUCCAGCCUGGGUGACAGAGAGGGACUCGAUCUCAAAAAAAAAAAAAAAAAAAAAGAAAGAAAGAAAGAAAGAAAAUAGAGGCCACAGGAGUUAUGGCCGCUCAGUUUCCAUCUUGUCUAUCUUGAAGUCUCCCUUUAUCUCCUGCCUUGAAGAAAGAUGCUUAUAUCCAAGUACUUUGGAGAGUCAAAACAAUAAUGACCAAGAAAUCCAAGACCAUAAAAAAAUAGAGUUUUAGGCCGGGCGCGGUGGCUCACGCCUGUAAUCCCAGCACUUUGGGAGGCUGAGGCAGGCGGAUCACGAGGUCAGGAGAUCGAGAUCAUCCUGGCUAACACGGUGAAACCCCGUCUCUGCUAAAAAUACAAAAAAUUAACCGGGCUUGGUGGCCGGCGCCUGUAGUCCCAGCUACUCCAGAGGCUGAGGCAGGAGAAUGGCGUGAACCCGGGAGGCAGAGCUUGCAGUGAGCCGAGAUCGCGC
rnacentral:lncRNA from 10 species